GAGAAGCAGUUGAACUCUAGUUGGGAUCUCAUGAGAGCUGGUAACAUGGGGGUGCCUACUCCUAGUCAGUGGCUUAACACUGUCCUAGCACCUGGUUGCAGGAUCGGCAUAGAUCCUUUCCUUUUUUCAUCUGAUGCUGCAAAAGAAUUCAAAGAGGACAUUUCUAAAGGGAACCAUGAGUUGGUCUUUUUGUAUGAUUUCAACCUUGUAGAUGAAAUUUGGAAAGAGUCGAGACCAAAUCCUCCAAAGGAACCAAUUAGAUUGCACGACCUAAAAUAUGCUGGUGUAAAUGUGUCGUCAAAGCUUUCAUGCUUGAGAUCUGAAUUAAGAAAUGCUGGUGCAUCGGCGAUUGUUAUCUCCAUGCUUGACGAAAUUGCAUGGCUAUUGAACUUGAGAGGUAAUGAUAUUCGACAUUCACCAGUCAUGUACGCAUAUUUAGUUGUGGAGAUAGAUGGGGCAAAAUUGUUCGUAGAUGAUACUAAAGUAACACCUGAAGUUAUGGAGCACUUGACAAAUGCUGGCAUAGAAUUGAGAGCAUAUGAGUCCAUUCUUUCUGAAAUUGAAAGUUUGGCUGCAAAAGGAGCAAACCUUUGGUUGGACACUUCAUCAGUCAAUGCUGCUAUUGUAAAUGCAUAUGAAUCAGCUUGUUACAAAUAUCCUUGGGAUUCUGCAACUAAAAGCAGGAAGAAGCGGAAUGCCAACCUUAAUUCCAAUGGUCAAUCUGGGGGACCAUGUGCAGUAUAUAGGAGUUCUCCUGUCUCUCUGAGUAAAGCUGUCAAAAAUGAUGCUGAGUUAGAAGGGAUGCGUAACUGCCAUCUAAGGGAUGCAGCUGCAUUAGCUCAAUUUUGGGCUUGGCUGGAGGAUGAAAUCCAAAGGGAUGUUGUUCUGACAGAAGUAGAAGUUGCUGACAAACUUCUUGAAUUUCGCUCACACCAAGAUGGAUUUCUUGAUACAAGCUUCGACACCAUAAGUGGUUCGGGUGCCAAUGGUGCUAUAAUACAUUACAAGCCAGAGUCAGAUAGUUGUAGCACUGUGGAUGGGAAGAAACUCUUCCUUUUAGACAGUGGAGGCCAAUAUAUUGAUGGAACGACUGAUAUUACGAGGACAGUGCAUUUUGGUGAACCAUCUGCAAGAGAAAAAGAAUGUUUUACCCGAGUACUACAGGGUCACAUAGCACUUGACCAAGCAGUUUUCCCUGAGAAUACUCCUGGUUUCGUGUUGGAUGCAUUUGCACGGUCUUCCUUGUGGAAGGUUGGCCUUGAUUACCGGCAUGGAACUGGGCAUGGUGUUGGAGCUGCACUAAAUGUUCAUGAAGGCCCACAUAGCAUUAGUUUCCGCUUUGGGAAUAUCACUCCUUUGUUGACAGGCAUGAUAGUCAGCAAUGAACCAGGUUACUAUGAAGACCAUCAUUUUGGUAUUCGAAUUGAGAAUCUUCUUUACGUUAAAGAAGAAGAUACACCGAAUCGUU
rnacentral:misc_RNA from 1 species